GCCAGGGUCCCUCAAGAUGUCAAUCUUGGUCAUGUAACGCUGUCAUGGCCAAUGGCUAUAGCCAGAAAUUGUUACCACCGUUAUGCCAAUUAUACAGUCCGUUAUUUGACUAAAACAUUCAUUGAUGCCUAUAAUUAAAAACAUUAUAUUACGGUAGAAUUUCAUCUCAAGAUCAGAUUAACUGAAGUUGGACGGUGGCGGC
rnacentral:lncRNA from 1 species